CAGUCGCCACGGGAAUACAGAGGAUGCAAGCGUUAUCCGGAAUGAUUGGGCGUAAAGCGUGCGCAGGCGGUUUUGUAAGACAGGCGUGAAAUCCCCGGGCUCAAUCUGGGAAUGGCGCUUGUGACUGCAAAGCUAGUGUGCGGCAGAGGGGGAUGGAAUUCCGCGUGUAGCAGUGAAAUGCGUAGAUAUGCGGAGGAACACCGAUGGCGAAGGCAAUCCCCUGGGCCUGCACUGACGCUCAUGCACGAAAGCGUGGGGAGCAAACAGGAUUAGAUACCCCGGUAGUCCCUGUCUCUUAUAC
rnacentral:rRNA from 1 species